CAGCUACAAAAAUACGGAAAGAACAGAUUUAUUCUAGUGCAGUGACAACACCUCUGCAAAGUGACCACAAUUGCCCAAAUCAAUUUAAGCAUUGCAUUUCCCAUUCCAUUCAGCAGCAGAAUGCAUUCAAUAUAAAUAUUUUAUGCAGCCGCCCGAAAGUAUGCUACACAAAUUGUGCAAAGCCGCAGCAAUUACGUAUACGUAAUUACGGGCUCGUUUCGCGUCUAUUUAAUGGAAUGGCUCGACUGAAAUUGUGCCAAACUAAUUACAGCAAAUCAAUAACGUGCGGCGUAAACACAACAUUUAAACAACAUAUAAACUUUAAUGGGGCGUGGCGAAUCAAUCAGUGCGACAUUACACCAGGGCCCGCCAUGGGAGCACAGUUCAUGAGCAGCCCAGCCCAGAGUCAAGUGACGUGCUCUGGUGUUGCCAUAAAUGCAGUCGCUGGCAAAUUGGGUGCACAAGAAAGAUAUAUAAAGAAAACAAAAUUGCGGCCAAACAGUCGCCAAGGUAGACUCGACCACAAAAAGGGCAAACGUUUUGUGGUGCAGGCGAACCCAGGAGCAGAGCGUCACAGGCUGCCACAGCCACUGCAAUGCGGUGCCAUUGCCCAAGUUGGAGACGGAGCAGGCCAGGCUCGGGCGCAACCUAAACUGUAAUUGGCCGUGCGAGUGAGCACCAGUGUUUCGUCCCCCACUCACUGCGCCGGCCGGCCCAUUCAGAGGGAACUGCAGCCCGAGUCGCAGCUCGAACGUCGAAGUAACUAGAGACAUGAAUAAAGCCAGCACGUAAAAAGUUUCACUUCUGUUUGGAGCAGACAAGAAAAUGAACAGAAAACAGUGCAGCUCUAAGAUUAGGAGAGUGACUGACUAGCAGAUACCCUGCCAAGACCAGUUACUAGUGCCUCCCGUUGGCUUGGCUUUAAUUGGCGCCGCGUUUUGCAUUUGUUUAAUAUUUAAAGCUCGACGUUUUUGCACAAUAUCUAUGACGGCAGCAACAACAAGAAGCCAAAAGCCAUUUUUUUCUCCCUUUAGCGCUUCUACUACAACAAAUAAUAAAAGGCAGCAAAAAAUAAAAGACAUUAUAAAUUACAAUAUUUCUUAUAUGUGUAUGGCUACA